GGUGUGCCUAACCCACGAAGGAAUAUUUGUGACAGCGAAUAUCAUCGUAUUCCUGAUGACUCAACGUUUAAGAAACGAGCAGAUGGAACUGAACGAGAUACUUGAAAUUUAACAAACAAGAAUUUCCUCUCUUUGGAUUCCAAAUAAUCUAACGUUCAACGUGCACACGUGGUGGUACUAUCAGAUUUUUCGUUUUCGGCUGCAUUCUACAUACGUACACCCGUGUUCCGGAGCAGGUGCUCUUUAAACACGUGGACUGGGAAUCGAUUUAAAAAAGACCGAGGGACAUUUUGGAUAGACCGGUUCAGAAGAAGAAGAAGAAGAAGAAGAAGAAGAAUUACAUAUUAUUUCAACCACAAUAGCUUGUUGUUAUUAGCCUUUUGCAGUCUACUUAUACAUUUUGAACGUCAAAGGU